rnacentral:rRNA from 1 species
AACGAACGCUGGCGGCAGGCUUAACACAUGCAGGUCGAACGCAUCGCAAGAUGAGUGGCAGACGGGUGAGUAACGCGUGGGAACAUACCCUUUUCUACGGAAUAGCUCUGGGAAACUGGAAUUAAUACCGUAUACGCCCUACGGGGGAAAGAUUUAUCGGGGAAGGAUUGGCCCGCGUUGGAUUAGCUAGUUGGUGGGGUAAAGGCCUACCAAGGCGACGAUCCAUAGCUGGUCUGAGAGGAUGAUCAGCCACAUUGGGACUGAGACACGGCCCAAACUCCAACGGGAGGCAGCAGUGGGGAAUAUUGGACAAUGGGGGCAAGCCUGCUCCAGCCAUGCCGCGUGAGUGAUGAAGGCCUUAGGGUUGUAAAGCUCUUUCACCGAUGAAGAUAAUGACGGUAGUCGGAGAAGAAGCCCCGGCUAACUUCGUGCCAGCAGCCGCCGUAACAC